GUUUCUGUAGUGUAGUGGUUAUCACAUUCGCCUCACAUGCCACAAAGCAGGAGUUUGACUCUCUUCCCAAAAC